GACGAACGCUGGCGGCGUGCUUAACACAUGCAAGUCGAACGAAGAGCGAUGGAAGCUUGCUUCUAUCAAUCUUAGUGGCGAACGGGUGAGUAACGCGUAAUCAACCUGCCCUUCAGAGGGGGACAACAGUUGGAAACGACUGCUAAUACCGCAUACGAUCUAAUCUCGGCAUCGAGGAUAGAUGAAAGGUGGCCUCUACAUGUAAGCUAUCACUGAAGGAGGGGAGUGCGUCUGAUUAGCUAGUUGGAGGGGUAACGGCCCACCAAGGCGAUGAUCAGUAGCCGGUCUGAGAGGAUGAACGGCCACAUUGGGACUGAGACACGGCCCAGACUCCUACGGGAGGCAGCAGUGGGGAAUCUUCCGCAAUGGACGAAAGUCUGACGAAGCAACGCCGCGUGAGUGAUGACGGCCUUCGGGUUGUAAAGCUCUGUUAAUCGGGACGAAAGGCCUUCUUGCGAAUAGUGAGAAGGAUUGACGGUACCGGAAUAGAAAGCCACGGCUAACUACGUG
rnacentral:rRNA from 1 species